CAAUAGCGUAUAUUAAGGUUGUUGCAGUUAAAAAGCUCGUAGUUGGAUUUCUGGUGGGGGUCGCUGGUCCGCUGCGAAAGCGGCGUGUACCGAUGCGUACCUACCGCCAUCCUCGGGGGGACUGCGUGUGGGGUUAGUUUCUCGUGCGUAUGGACGCCCGUCUUUUACUGUGAAAAAAUUAGAGUGUUCAAAGCAGGCUGAGGCCGUUGAAUACAUUAGCAUGGAAUAAUAAGAUAGGACCUCGGCGGUCUAUUUUGUUGGUUUGCACGCCAAGGUAAUGAUUAAUAGGGAUAGUUGGGGGUAUUCGUAUUCAAUUGUCAGAGGUGAAAUUCUUAGAUUUAUGGAAGACGACCUACUGCGAAANCANNNACCAAGGAUGUUUUCAUNAA
rnacentral:rRNA from 1 species